rnacentral:rRNA from 1 species
GCGAAAACUUUACACUGCGCGAAAGCGCGAUAAGGGGACCUCGAGUGCGUGCGCAAUGCGUACGCUUUUCAGAUGCCUAAAAAGCAUGUGGAAUAAGGGCCGGGCAAGACCGGUGCCUGCCGCCGCGGUAACACCGGCGGCUCAAGUGGUGGCCGCUAUUAUUGGGCUUAAAGGGUCCGUAGCCGGACCAGUUAGUCCCUUGGGAAAUCUUACGGCUUAACCGUAAGGCUGCCAAUGGAUACUGCUGGUCUUGGGACCGGGAGAGGUAAGAGGUACUUCAGGGGUAGGAGUGAAAUCCUGUAAUCCUUGGGGGACCACCUGUGGCGAAGGCGUCUCACCAGAACGGCUCCGACAGUGAGGGACGAAAGCUGGGGGAGCAAACCGGAUUAGAUACCCGGGUAGUCCCAGCCGUAAACGAUGCGCGUUAGGUGUAUCGGUGACCACGAGUCACCGAGGUGCCGAAGAGAAAUCGUGAAACGUGCCGCCUGGGAAGUACGGUCGCAAGGCUGAAACU